GGCGAACCCUAGGAUUUGGGGCUGUCGCUUCUUCUUCAACACGAUCUUCAUCUUUGCGUCCUUUGAGUUCGUUAAUCAGCCGCGAUCCAAAGAUUUAACAGUCUCUCACCUUCGCUUGCACCCUCACUCGUUCCAUUUGUAACCAUCUAGGGCUUCAGACCACAGUGCAACAUCAACCGCGAAGGAACCAUCGCCCGACAUUUGAAUUAUUGCAUACUGCAGAUGUCGCAUUUCUUGGGUUAACAGCUGACUAUUAUCUAGCAAUGGAUCAAACUGCGGAUGAAACUCGUGCUGGUAGUGAGAAUCAGACCAAGCAAGAUGGUGAAAAGCUUUUGACAUGGAACCUCCAGUAAUGCCAGAGGAUGGCCACACAACCAGGGUUACUACUGUGGGGGGAAUCAUCAUUACCAAAUUCUGGGAAAGAUUCUUCAGUUCUUGAAGCAAUCUGGGAUGAUGAAGACACCAAAGCAUUUUAUGAAAGCUUGCCUGUCCUUAGAGCUUUUGUUCCAGCUGUGCUUCUGGGAGAAGUAGAACCUAAGGCUAAUGACCAUUCUCCAAAGUCACAAGAGCAACCAUCUGUAAGGAACUCAUUUCUAUUUUAUUUAGGCUCCAGCAACUAUUUAUCAUUGAUGUCAUAUACUUGUAUCAUAAUAUUUCUUUGUGUGUACUACAUGGAGUGUACCUGCAAUACCAUUUUAAACA